rnacentral:snoRNA from 1 species
GAGGAUAUGAUGACCCUUUCUCCAGAUGAUCGACAGUGAACAUAUUGAGCGCCAUAAUUUCUCUUUUGAGAAAACCAAGCCAGAAUUCUGAUCCUC